CCUAGCCUGAGAGACAACUGGUGCCAUAGAAAAUACCCCAGCCUUAGCCACACUCUCCAUGAUUCCAACUAAGUAGACUAGAGCAUCCUGAAGUACGGGUAUAGAAAUGAAUCCCUCCGGGACUUGAGUGGGUCUGACUGGUGAUGUCUAAACUGGGAGCUCCUCCUCGUUCUUGGUCUGAGGCUCUGUAAUGGGUGUUGCUGCGCAUGCUCUAGGCUGAGCUCUGCCUCUGCCUCGGUCCUUACCUCGACCCCGGCCCCUACCCCUAGUAGUGGUUGCAACAGGGGGCUCUGGCUCCUGCCUGGCUGUAGAUGAUGUGUGUGUUCUCGCCAUCUGUGAGAGAACAAGAAUAUAAUGGUUCAAACUUCAGUAAUAGAAUAAGUCGCACGAUAGAGAAAGAAAGAAGUGAAGUUUCCAAAAACCCUAUAUUCUUUAGAAGAUAAGUACAUAUGUCUCUGUUACAAUCCUCCAAACUCUACUAAGCUUCCUCAUAACUCAUGAGACCUAGGCAACUUAGUGUUCUAAUACCAACUUGUCACGACCCAGAAUCUCACCCUCAGAAUCGUAAUGGUGCCUAAUAUUUUACUUGAUAGGCAAGCUAACAUUAGCUAAAUUACUUAACUAGUUUUAACGAUUUAAGAUAAAACAUUAAUAUUAACAAAUUGUAAUCAAUUGAAAUAUACACAAUAAAAUACUAGCUGACGAAGUCUAAACAUAUCCCAGAAUUUGGAGUCACGUAUACAUGAGCAUCUAGAGUACUACAGAUAAAGUCUGAACAAAAUACAAUUAUUUGAAGCUAAAUAAACAGUAAAUACAGAAUGGAAAGGGGACUUCAGAGAUGCCGACGCCGAGCAGUUAUACCUCAAGUCUCUUAAAGUAAUUGAAUACGAGCAGUGUUACUACGCGCCAUUGGGACCCAUACCGGUAUCUGCACAAGAAGUGCAGAAGUAUUGUAUGAGUAAAACCGAUCGAUGUACUCUAUAAGUGUCAAGCGUAAUUUCGACGAAGUAAUGAUGAGGCUAUGGAAAGUCAUUUACAAAUAACCUCUACGAAAUAAUAAUAAUAGAAAAACAGAAUAAUAAUAAUAUCUUUCAAAUUAUCAACAUAAGUAAUUCAACAAUAUUUUAGAAAUAUCAACAUAAAGAAGGUGAAUGCACAAAACAAUGAAGAAUCACAGAAUAAUCGAAGAAUAUCUAACAACCAGAAAUCUCAAACCCUACAAAUUCAUCAGUAGAGAACAACGAAACAACCCACAUAAAUGAAACAACAUUAUAAAGUUCAUCAAAUAAUAUAAGACCAAUAAAAGCAGGUAAAACAUGUGACAAUUAAAGUAUACAGUUACGACAAGUAAAGGUACGUGUUGUGUCUAACUUUUACUUGAGGGAAUUAGAACUUGUUGAAUUACUUGUUAUGUGAAUUAUGUGGGGAAACAACAUAUCUGCAAUGUGACAAGUGUAUAUUCAUGUUUUUGAUUAUUCCAUGAUACCUCAUGUUAUAUGCUUAAAUUGUUUCAUGUUUUUACCCGACUUCAAGGCCAUAUUUGUUACUUGUCAUCUAAUUGUUACUUGCCUUGAUUUGUUUAUUCCUCACAUAUUUUUUGCUUAUUAGCUACGCAAAAUGAGUCAAAUCAAUCUAGGGACCUCCGAUUUUAAUUUCGGGAAUAUGCCCAAGUCCAAUAUUACAAUACGGACUUAACAAAAUUGUCCAAUACCGAUUCGAACCGUUUACACAAAAUAUUGACCGUAAUCAACUCUAGCCUUUUUAAGUCAAAAUUUCACAUAAAUGCUUUUCAAAAAGCGACAUAUGCCAUGCACGCAAACCAAGAAAUAUCAAACGAAGCUAAUGGAGGUCUCAAAAUAUAGAAAUAAAGGCUAGUACUCAAAACGACCUAUUAGAUCGUCAUAGUUUCCUUUUAUGCAUUUAUUAGUAGUUGUUGUUACAUGCCAUUCUUUCCGUUGCUGAGUUAUUCUCAUGCAUUUAGUAGUAGUUGCUAAUUCAUGUUAUCUUUUGCAUUGUUAAGCUUAUGUUUUGCACUUGAAUUGUACUAUAUCAUGAGGAUACCUUCAUUUGUUAGGUUAUUGAAGAUGUAGUUGUGAAAGUUAUUAACAUAUUAUGGUCUGAAGUUGUUGAUUAUUGAGAUAUCUUUCUUUAUUGAGUUAUUUCUUAUUCAUUUAUUGUUAUUGAGAUUCUUGUACUUAUUGUGGUUGAUCCAUGGGUUAUGUAUUAUGGUAAUAUUGGUAUUGCUAAUUUGGCAAUAUUGUGGCAUAUGGGCACGUGUGGUGUGAGUGAUGAUUCUGUUGUGAAAUUGAUACGAAUGCGGUGGUAUAAAGGUGGAUAUUGAAAUGCAUGCGGUGAGAUAAGGUGAGAUUUAUACGCGUUUUGCUAGUAAGGUAAUUACUUGAAGCCACGCAGCGAGAAAAAGGAGUAAAACGCGAGUAGCUAUUUCGAGAAAUAUUUUUAAAAUAAAUGCAAGACUCACGCGGUGAUAUAAGAAAUAUUGUGAUUAUGACUUGUGAAAUAUGAAUAUGAGGUGUGGUAUCUCGGUGGUGAUUCUUGUUGAAAAUCGUAUGUGAAAAGACUCGUUAAUUUAAAUUGUUAGUCUUUACUUCAUUCGUUUUACUUAAAUUUGACUGUGUUUGAUCACUUGUUGUUCCUGCUAUCUGUUCAUUCUAUCUUGUCCUUUUUUGCCUAAAUUUUUCGUUGCUUGCCUUAUAUCACCAUUAUGUUUGUUGUCAUUUAUCUCUUUACUUUUCGUUACUAGAUUAUAUCAAUAUUUUGUUCACGUUUAUUUUAUAUAGUAGGUUUCUUGACCUGGCCUCAUCACUACUCUACCAAGGUUAGGCUUGACACUUACUGGGUACCGUUAUGGUGCACUCAUGUUAUGCUUAUGCACAUAUUUAUGCAAAUCUAGGUACUUCUGCUCAUGUCGGACGCUAAUGAGUUGACCCAGUUACUUUGGUGACUUCAACGUAUACUUGUUUGACGCUCGCAGGCCUCGAAAUCACCUUCUACUAUUGUCUUACUACUGUUUAUCUUCAUUUCAAACAUAGUUGUAUUUAGAGAUUACUAGUGCAUUUUUCUAUUGAGCUUAUGACUCAGUUUCAACGAUUUUAGAAAUUAUUUGACUGUCGUACCAUUUGGGUUUUAUUAUGAUAGAUAAUUAGUUUAAUUUUAUAUCGUAUCCAUUAAAUCUGUUAAAAAUAUCAAUGUAUGUUAGGCUUACCUAGUCUUAGAGACUAGGUGUCAUCACAACACCCUAAGGUAGAAAUUUAGGAACGUGACAAGAGGAGGAGGAAGAAGAAAAGGAAGAGGGAGAGGAAGAAAAUGUAGAGAAGGAUGAAGAAGAGGAGGAAAGGGAAUAAGAAGAAGAGGAAGAAAAAGCGGCGGAAGAAGAAGAAGGAGGAGGAGGAGGCGGAGGAGAGAAUGGUUACAAGGUGGAGAAUCGAAUUCUCACCAACCUAGUGGAUCUUUUGACAAAAAAAAAAUGAAUUUCACCAACAAGGUAAAAAUUCAGGUAGUCGAUUAACUAGACUACAAAGGUUCCCUAGUAUUAGGGAUAUUUAUUGAAAAAUCCAACGACAUUUCUAGGUGAUGCAACAUAAAUCUAUCAGAACCAUCAGUUUGCACAAAUUGAUGUUGGUAUUCUUUCAAUCUCAAGUGUUGGAAAAUUUUGAUUAUGGAGAAUAAAAAUUAUCAAAGCUUGAGGAGUGUCAAGGACACUAUCCUUAAUGAUAUUUUUCCUAUACAAUGAUUAAUAAAAUUAGGUGCAUCCCCAGGAUUCAAUAAGUUCUUCCAGUUAUAAACUGGAAACAAAACUAGUAUAAAAUUCAAUAAAGAAACCCAGCAUAGAAGGAGAAGAAAUAGAAAAUAGUGUUGGAAAAUCUAUGUCAUUAUUCACUAGAGUGCCAUAUGUAGGAGGACGAAGAAGUUUCAGAAAAGUUUGUCUUUAGCUUUCCAAAAAUCAUGUUUAUAUAGGUGUUGCUUCAACAGUUAAUUAACGAUUAAUUAGUGGAGAAUUUCGAAUAGCUAGUUUGUAACGGCUAGUUUGACUAUUUCAAGCUGAGAGAAAGUAGAUAAAAGAAUAAGGAACAUUUCCUUUUGAGAUACCCACAAAUUCUAACAAUCCUCCACAUAUCUUAAAAAAAUAUUUAAAAAAAAUAGUUGAGUACAUUUUGCUGGAUUUCAUAUAUAAUGGAAUUUAUCUGGUGUCUUAUGGGCUAUGAACCAGAUAUAGAAAAAAUAAAAUUUAACUUACAAAAUAAUUGGUGACAUUGAUAACUUUUAUGAACCAAUAAAUUCUUGUGGUAAGCAUUGUGACACUUCCUUUUUCCGAGGGGAUAGGGGAAUGUUUUCAAUUAAAGUGACAUUAAUCGAAAUGGGAUUAUUUGUUUAAUCAGAGUUGCCACUAGGAAUAUUUAUGGUGUCCCAAGUCACCAGUUUAUUUUAAAAUCCCAAAUCGAGGAAAUUGACUCUAUUUAUGUUCCGCGAACACAAAAGACCGGGUAAGGAAUUCUGUUAACUCGGGAGAAGGUGUUAGGCAUUCUCGAGUUCCGUGGUUUUAGCACGGUCGCUCAACUAUUAAUAAUUGGCCUAAUUAUCUAAAUUAUUACAUGUUUUAGAACCUUUUGUGCAUUACCGCUUUUAGUAUUUAUGGAAUAUAUUUAAAUAAGUUGCAAUGUCGCGCACCUAUUGUUAUCAUGUGGAACGCAUCCGCUAUUCACAAUAUGUUAGAUUUUUAUUAUUGUUUGACGUUCUAGUCGAGUCACGUGAAAUGCACACUCGAAUUGGGAUUUACGUAUCGUGACCAUGCCACAGGAACCAUACCCAUGACCACGAUAAUUUAUUAUUCGCGUCUAAAGCAAGCUACGAUGUUCAUGAUUAAUUGAUACAUUUGAGAUCAAGCGUGAAGGGCCAAGAGUUAUGGAAUGAUUGUUGGAGAAACAUCACGUGGAUUAAAUAUGAAAAAGUAUGCUUGUUACUAAAGGAGGGAUAAGCCAGCAGCAUGUUAUCACGAAGUGGGCCUGGCAUAUGACUUAUUUUCCUCAUCGAUUCAUUUAUGAAAUGGGAUCAAACUAACAGCCAGUGCUAUUAUAAUCCCAAUUCAAUUUUCUGAUUUCCUAAGACUAACAGAUGGCCCAGCCAACGUAAAUACUAACCAAACAGCGUACUAGUUUAUAAAGCAACUCAAAUCAACUUAACAAAUUCAUGGCAACUCUCACCCAGCUUCAGUUUCAAAUUUAAGAAUAAAACUAAUAAAAUUUUAUAACAAAAUAAGGAUCUUAAAACAUAACCAUAUAAACACGAAAGAAACAAACUAUAUGGAGAACUAUUCGAAGAUGCUAAAAUUCUAAGGUAGAACAUUACUCAACUAGAACUAACUGUUACACAAAUGGCCACCUUCACGUUAUUUAAUACAAAUUGGACUCAUGGUCAUGUUGAAACCUUUUCUAAUUUUAAUUUAACCUGAGAAAUUCAAUUUCAGAUCCAGUUUUAAAUGAACAAAAUAUCUGAAUUUCAACACACUUGAGCGCAAAUUAGUUGUCUUACAAGUGAAGACUUAACAGUGAUUUAACAAAGAAUUUUUUGCACACGGAUUUAUUCUAACUUUAUGCAUCAUAGUAGUUCAACAUUAAUUCAAAUUUGCAAUUAGCAGCGAUGAACUUUUUCAAACGUAUAAGGAACAAUCACUGCGAGUUUUAUUGCAAUAUAGCAUCUAAACAAAACUUACAGCAUUUUCUGGAUCGAAAUUCAUACCUGAAUAGCAAACAAAAAUCGAAAGCCAAAUAAAGGCUGAAAACCAGACGUGAUGUUGGAAUUCAGCUACUGGACAGCAGAGAAAACAACAGCGAAAUCAGCUCAUUGGAAAUUCGGAACACUCUUUGAAAAAUUUUCAGAUCUGAAAUAUUUGCGUUCCAGAGUCUUUGCUGCUCCUGGGUACGCGUAUGUUUUCGUUGAUGAAUAAUUGACCGAAUGUGUGUAAGUGUGUGUAUGUUCUUUGUUUUUUUAGAGUGAGGCUCCGUUCUCAAAAAUGGGAAUCAAGGAGGGGGUCCGCCGAUAUCUAUGAUGAUGAUGGAGAGGGAACUAUGGUGUAUU
rnacentral:lncRNA from 1 species